ACUGGUCGAUCCUGCCAGUAGUCAUAUGCUUGUCUCAAAGAUUAAGCCAUGCAUGUCUAAGUAUGAAUAGUAUUCUUGAUACUGUGAAACUGCGAAUGGCUCAUUAAAUCAGUUAUAGUUUAUUUGAUAGUUUGCAACUCGUUUUUCGGAGCGGUGUUGUGCUAGACGGAUAGCCGUGGUAAUUCUAGAGCUAAUACGUGCGACAAGGCCCGAGAGAGAGAGGUGUGUGUAUGCACAUUUUUUCCUUUCGAGGGCUGCAUUUGUUAGGUAUAAAGCCAGCAGGAACAUGACUGGUGAAUCAGAAUAACUUUGCUGACCGUUACACUUUUGUGUGUGAUGGUGUCUCAUUCGAAUUUCUGCCCUAUCAACUUUCGAUGGUAAGGUAUUGGCUUACCAUGGUGACAACGGGUGACGGGGAACAUUUGGUUCGAUUCCGGAGAGGGAGCCUGAGAGACGGCUACCACUUCCAAGGAAGGCAGCAGGCGCGCAAAUUACCCAAUCCUGACACAGGGAGGUAGUGACAAUAAAUACCAAUGCACGGUGUUUUUUAUGCACUGUGCAAUUGGAAUGAGAACAAUGUAAAGACCUUAUCAAGGAACAAUUGGAGGGCAAGUCUGGUGCCAGCAGCCGCGGUAAUUCCAGCUCCAAAAGCGUAUACUAAAGUUGUUGCAGUUAAAAAGCUCGUAGUUGGAUUUCAUGCGGGGUUCACGGUGUGUGGUGGGGGUGAGACUCUGUUUCGCCUUUGCCUUGCACUGUUUGCGCUCUGCAGUUUUAAUACUCCCUGGUGGCGCCUUUGGCGCGUGCCCUUGAUUGGGUGUGUGUCAAGUCACGUAGUGGUGGGGCGCUGUUGGGGGCUUUACUUUGAAAAAAUUAGAGUGUUCAAAGCAGGCAGUCAUUUGAUUUGCUUGAAUAGAUUAGCAUGGAACAACGGAAGAGGACUUUUGGGCCUGUACUGUUGGCGUGUGGUGCGGGGGUGUGGAAGAAGAAACCGCAAGGUUUUCUUAUUCCUCCCUCACCACAUCGGGUCUGAAGUAAUGAUUAAUAGGGACGGUUGGGGGCACUGGUAUUUCGUUGUCAGAGGUGAAAUUCUUGGAUUUACGAAAGACCGCCGACUGCGAAAGCAUUUGCCAAGGACGCUUUCAUUGAUCAAGAACGAAAGUUAGGGGAUCGAAGACGAUUAGAUACCGUCGUAGUCUUAACCAUAAACGAUGCCGGCCAGGGCUCGGUGGGCAGCACAAAUCAUUCUGUGAUGGAGGCGCCAUCGGGACCUUAG
rnacentral:rRNA from 1 species